rnacentral:lncRNA from 1 species
CAGUGAGAGAGGAGACGAUUUGGUCCUUGGCAAUGGAAACAGCAGCUUUGGCUUCAUGAGGAGGAGAUGCGAAGAGAGAUAACAGAGAGAUUGAGGUUGAUGUUGGAAGUGCGACAGAGAUUUGUCUCUCUCUCUUUUUACAAGACGAAGAAGAAGAAGAAGAAGAAAGAAUAGUGAGUUUUGCAGUUACUGAGGACUUCAUUGCCAUCUCCGCCAUAGCCAUGGUUUCUCUGCCACCCUUUCACAAAUUGAUGUGACAAGAGUAAAAAAGACAAAGAAGCUAUGGUGAUUCUCCUCUAUG